GGGCGACGAUUGGGUGAGAACCCUAGCAUCCACUCCCCAUCGUUGUUCCUCUCUUGCAUCCUGCCUCACUACUGCUGCUCUCGCCGCCGAGCUCGCCCGCCGCCGCCGCUGCCGCAUCAUCUUCUCCUCCUUGGGAACCCUAGAGCGUCUACUCUCCUGGCUGUUCGUAUCUUGGCUCGCCACAAAAAAUGGGCGAGGGUGAGUAGGACGAGGCCAUGGCUAGGGUUUCGGGCUGGGCAUCGCCUUCGUCGCCGGCGCGGCUCCGGUGGACUCCGGCGGCUCCUCUCCGUCUCCUUUUCCGUCCCCACGCGCGGCUCCGCUUCCUGCUGGCCAUGGGGUGCAGCCUUACAGGGGCGCAUCGGGCUGGGCAUCCUCUGUUUCUGAGUGCAUGGGGCGGUUUGAUAUGGCUGCUACUCCCUACAAAUUGCUCCCUACACUGCUUGACCUUACUAUUCCGCCAUCCAUAGUGAGAGAUGUGUUGCAUCUGCUGCUGUAGGUUGACAUUGUGUUCUCUUGGUGCUGUAGAUUUGAUUAUCUAUAGCUUUUUAGAUUUGUCCCCAUCAAGUAAAACACUCUACAUCAGUGUAAUCGCAGCAAGAUUAGACAAUAGUUUGCUCCUUAUCAAUGCUUCACAUAUUGCUUGUGUUUAGGGCACUGCAUUGUUAGGUUCUUGGGAGUAUGGGAUUGUCUAUUUCUCUCUUAUGUACUAUCUAUUCUCGAUGCUGAACAAUGUUUUGGUAUAUGUUCAUCUAGUAAUUACCAAAUUGUUUCCUUUCUCAGUGUUCUCCAGUGAUGGAAGAGGUUCUAAUGUUUUUCCAGUCAGGAUGGAAAUAAACUUCCAAAAAUAUGAACCAGGUGACAAUGAUUUUCUUGCAGUAAAUCUCCCUUAUUUGCUACGGUACUUUCGAUGGUUCAGCUACCAACUAAUUAGAUAAUAUCUAUUGUUGAUUUCUUAUUCUACAAAAGUGCCUUGAGAUGCUCCUGAAAUAACCACAAUCCCAUUGUUUGUCAUAUCAUAAUACAACAAACUGUCAUAUAUGAAGUUUUUCAUGAUACAAACAUAUAUUUGUUUGUUUUUAGGGCUCAGAUUUUAAAUUUCCAGUGGGUUGCUGACUAUUUCAGUUUUUUCAGCAAUUUGGAGGCUCUUGACUGAUAUUGCUAUUAAGCUAUGAAGCAAAGAUAAUUGUUAGUCUCUACAGGAUGAGCCACCAACAUGAAUAAAUCCUUGCAUGUUUUUUUACCCUUGAAUCAGUUUGCAUUUCCCCCUUAUUGUUGGUACAUUGCUCUGCAACAUUUUAUUCCUAUUAUACCAUGGCUACUUUAGUUGUAAGAGAUGCAUGCUUACAAAGUUUAAUUAUAUAUGUUCCAUAAAUAGGUUGCUUUCUGAAACACGUGCUUCAUAUACAAGGUUGAUGUCCAGGUCUAGCCAUGAGUCACUUUGUUGAUAGGUGUAUGCUUUUACGUAUUUCUAAAAUGAAAAUAGUCAUGGUGAAGUGUCUAAUCUUAGGUAUUUACAUACGGUUGAACCAUCGAUAUGAGAACUUUUUUGUAUUGCUUUCUUUUAGCUCUGUCCAUGGUGCUCUCAUGGAUGUAUUUAUACCUUUGCACAGCGGUGACACCUCUCCACGUAUACAUGUCCAAAAAUCUUUAUUUUAUGGAAAAUUGGAGAUCCGGUUGAAUCUGACCAAGUAAUCACUUUUCUCGCAGACUCUGCCUCUAUCCCAGUAAUUCUUUAACAAGUAUUCUUCUUCUUUUCUCAACCUCUUGCAUGCAAUUUCAGGUCACUCCAUCUAUCCGUGGAAUAUACAUGUUUGUAGCAUAUUUUGUGAUAUUUUGAACUUUUAUUUUUCCAAGAUUAUUGUUGUACAUUUGCCUGUUUAACUUCCUGGAUGGCCUAAUUAUGAGCUUGCGGAUGCUCAAGAAAUCUCAAAGAUCUGUUCGGUGGUCUACAAACGUGUUUAUGUUUUUACAGUGGUAGACAAACUUUUAAUCGUGCCGGCCAAGUAUAGUUUGUUUGUGGUCCUUAAAUUUAUGUAUGUGUUCUCACUUGGUGAAUUUAUUGUUCUAUCCUUCUGUUCAGCACAGAUAAACUGAGUGAGUCAUGAACAACCAUCAUUUAUAGAAUUGGAUGUAUAAAUUCCUGUAGUGUUUCUGAUUCUGAAGAUUACUUUAUUUUCUGGACAUGGGUUCAGUAACAAGGAAGCCAAACACCAUGCACCACUUUCCUCUUUUUCCAAAAUGUUGUUUCUUUAAUCAUUUUUCAAAAUGUACAUGCUUUCAUGGAGUACGAAGGCUAGGCUCUGCUGCUGCUGAUAUGUCCCAUGUUGGUCUAGGCAUUACAGAGGCUUACUGGGAAUAUCGGCUUAAGCCGUGUGACAUGGUUGCUGGCAUUCUGGUACUCCUUCUUACACCGUGGAAUCAGAUUUGCUAAAUAAUCAUCAGUUUGGUAGAAAGUGGGACUGGCUUAUUUGCUUAUUUUCAAACCUUACCGUCUUUUUAUUCAGAUAAUCUUUCCUCUAAUGAUGGUUCUUAUAUUUCCGUACUCUCAUAGUUUGGGUUGAAAAUAACAGAGUUAAUCUUAUCUUAAGGAAAUCAUUGAGAAGUUCUCAACUAAUCUUUGAAAGAAAUUGAUUUCAUUUUCUGUAAUCAAAUCUAGAAUUCGCAUAGUAAAAGGUACUCCCUCCUUCCCAAAAUAUAAGGCACGCGUUGACUUUUUGGGUCUUCGUCGCAUAACUUUGACCAUUAUUUUCACUCAUUGUAUGUCUACAAAAUUACUAUAAAAACAUAUGAGAUAUUUCGGGAAGGAGGGAGUAUCAAAGUGAUGUGUAUAUUGAUAUUCUGAAAUAUACUUAUCUAUCAGUCUUUAUUUCAGUUACAUAAAUUUCAUCGAUCCUGAGUAGUCUGGCUUCUUAUUUACAUCUCUAAGCAACUCUUUACUCCAUGGAGUUUGACAGUAUAUAAUUAUUUGGCGAAUUUAGUCAUUUUUCAAUAGAUAGUUGAAGAAGCUGGUGUGGUAGUGACAUGCAUGGAUGGUGGAGAGUUUACAGUCUUUGAUCGUUCUGUUUUUGUUUCCAAUGGCGUUGUUCAAGGUCAGGCCAGUUUUGUAGAAAGUAGCUUCUUUCCUGAUUUGCUAAGAAUCACCUCCUCCAACGGUACUACAGUACUAAUAUCUCCAGCAUUGGCAGUCACGCCCUUAAAAGGUCAGCCUUACAUUUCUGGCUGUUUCGCAGUUAGGCCGGUGGCAUGGUGGAGGGGCUGUCUUGCGAGUUGACCGGAGAGCUUGAAUUUUUAUUGCUCUCUUUGUUCUAUUUUCUUUCCUCUUUCCAGCUUAGUCCCUUCUUAAAUAAUUAAUAGCUUUGGAAUCCCUGUGAUUGUUACACUGUGUUCUUGAUAAACCUGUUAGCUUUCUUAAUAUCCUAUAUAUAUAUAUGGAUAUACCAGUUUAUUAAUAUGCACCACUCGUGCUGUAGUUUGGAUUGACUCAUGAGUUAUUUGUGUGUAGAUGUCCAUCUGUACAUAAUAUACAGUACUAAAACUAAUAUGUUUCCAGUGAAUAAUUGCUUAUGCAACUUUUUUUACAAGGACUAUACUCAAUCAGGGGAAACUUUAAUUAAGGUUUAAAAGGACGUUGGCUAGACUAAUUUGUUUUCUUGGCUCCAGGUAGAUGGUAAUGUAGGAUUUUAGUUUUAACAUGAAUUUGCUCAUUCAGAGUGUUGCAUUCUAAGCCACAGGAUUGACAGAGUGUUUAUUUCCCCCAUUAUCUUGCUGGCUAUCUUCAUUAACAAGCAGUGAUUCCUCACAGAGACAACCCCUUGCUGUCGCUCUCCUUCUCAUCCACGACCCCUUGCUGAUGCUGCCCUCCUUCUCACUGGUGGCCAAAUCUUCCUCCUCCCCGUCGGCGGUUGCGACCAAGCCAGCACCAAAGGCCCCCCAUCAGCAAAGCGGUUUGUUGCGUUCCACCUCGUCCUGGCCUUCGUCCGUUUUGUGCUCGACAUGGUCUUCCUACAUCGGCUGAGUCCACGGACCUGCAGGGAUGACUUAAAGGUUUGUGGAUGGAAUGUGAGAUGUCUCAGUUAAAGUUCCAUGAAGAAAGAUACCAAAUAAUGGAUGUUGUGAUGCUACUCGAUGGAUGGCGGGCUAACUUGGAAUCAACCAUUCUACAGGAGGAACAAUCAUUCGAACUACCCAUUAUCUGAGAACGACAAGAAAUUGUAGACCAUUAUACAUCAGUAACAAGAAAGAAAAACUCCGCUCUGCUAAGAAGCGAAAGGUUCAGGCCACAUGUGACGAACCGUGUCUAUGUGGCAGAAGUUUGACACGGGACCACAUCUGUGUAGUUUCGACGUCUUCAGAAACGAGUGUGUCUAUGCAACUGAAAUGGACAUUUCCCUAUGCGAGAUCAAACGACUCGAGUGUUACAUUGGUUCAACCACCCCUCUCAUCAAGUACUAUGUUUGCGAGAUGAACAAGACAUUCGCCGCUCCUAGACAAACAAUGUGCUUUUCCUGUCGCUUCACAAGGCUAUAUCUAAAGGACCAUCUGAACGAACCGUUCAACGACAUGACGAUCAAACUCAACCCUGAAGGUGUUACGAAACAGGUCCGAAUGAUAAUGGGUGCAGACAAGAGGGCCACGAUAACAGACAAUUGGUCGGAUUUUGUCAAAGCGGUGGGAAUCAAAGAGUUUGAGAUAUGUGUCUUAGCCUUUGAGAUUGAAAGUGGGAAACCAACGCUCGCUGUCCGUAGGCUUUAAGAAGGCUAAAGUAUGAAUCACAAAUGCAUUGUUUAUCCAGAUAUUAUUGUAUGCCGUGUAUCUCACAGGUUGUCUGCAUUAGGAUCAUAUGGAGUGGCGCCUGUGAAGAUUAUUGACCAGGCAGAUGAUAAAAGACACUUAUUAGUGUGAAGUGACGCCUAUGAAUAAUGUUUGGUAGCACCUACAGAAUUAAACGACAAGGCAGUUGACCGAAGCCGCUUAUUAGUAUGCUUAGUAAAUAUGGCUCUGUCAUUGUCCCUCCUCUAUGUUCAUGUCUUUAUUAUUCCUGCCUUGUACUCAUGCUUGUGACGUCGAAUUUUAUGUCAAGUGGCUGCGAUUUUGGUGUCAAACUUCAUGACAAGUUAUCUUUUAUGGUAUUAUAAACGAUCUGAAAUCAAUUAUGCAUUUCUCUUACCA